GAUGAACGCUAGCGACAGGCCUAACACAUGCAAGUCGAGGGGUAACGAUUUAGUAGCUUGCUACUAAAGGCGACGACCGGCGCACGGGUGCGUAACGCGUAUGCAACCUACCUAUUACAAGAGGAUAGCCCAGAGAAAUUUGGAUUAAUACUCUAUAGUACUCAACUAAAGCAUUUUAGUUGUUUUAAAGGAUUCGUCCGGUAAUGGAUGGGCAUGCGUAUGAUUAGUUAGUUGGUAGGGUAACGGCCUACCAAGACGAUGAUCAUUAGGGGUUCUGAGAGGAUAGUCCCCCACACUGGUACUGAGACACGGACCAGACUCCUACGGGAGGCAGCAUUGAGGAAUAUUGGUCAAUGGACGCAAGUCUGAACCAGCCAAGUCGCGUGCAGGAAGACUGCCCUAUGGGUUGUAAACUGCUUUUAUAUAGGAAUAAUGUUAGUUACAUGUAGCUAUUUGAAUGUACUAUAUGAAUAAGCACCGGCUAACUCCGUGCCAGCAGCCGCGGUAAUACGGAGGGGGCAAGCGUUAUCCGGAUUUAUUGGGUUUAAAGGGUGCGUACGCGGGUUCAUAAGUCAGUGGUGAAAGUCUGUCGCUCAACGAUAGAAUUGCCAUUGAAACUGUGGAUCUUGAAUACAGUAGAGGUAGGCGGAAUAUAUUGUGUAGCGGGAAAUGCAUAAUACGAUAUAGAACACCAAUUUGCGAAGGCAGCUUACUAUGCUGUUAUUGACGCUGAUGCACGAAAGCGUGGGUAGCGAACAGG
rnacentral:rRNA from 1 species